GUCCUUGCAAAAACGGUUGAUGAGGCAGGUCUUCCCCACCGCCAGGUCCCCCACCACGAUGAUCUUGGAGAUCUUGAAGCCCACAGUGCCCGUCCGCUGCUCCUGGCAGGCGCCGGUCACACUGGAGUGGAAUUCGGGCCGGGUGUGCAGGGCGGCCUCCUUCCGAAAGCACUGUGGCAGAUCGGCCACCACUCUGUCCCGGCGCACCGGGGCCAGCACGUUCAUGGUGCCCCACGGCCAAAGGGAUGGGAUGGGAUGGAGUGGGGCUGAGGGGAACCGCCAGGCCGAGGGGCGAUCCCCGUUCCCGCGCCCCUCCCGCUCCGCUCGGUGCUCAGCGCCGCACACUCC
rnacentral:lncRNA from 1 species